GCUGACGAGGGGCGUUGCGACAGAUUGAUUAUCUGCCAGGCUCGUCAGCACUAAACCAUCUUAUUAUCCUAACGGCGCUCACCAUAU
rnacentral:ncRNA from 2 species